AGAGUUUGAUCCUGGCUCAGGACGAACGCUGGCGGCGCGCCUAACACAUGCAAGUCGAACGAGAGAGAAGGAGCUUGCUUCUUCGAUCGAGUGGCGAACGGGUGAGUAACGCGUGAGGAACCUGCCUCAAAGAGGGGGACAACAGUUGGAAACGACUGCUAAUACCGCAUAAGCCCACAGGUCGGCAUCGACCAGAGGGAAAAGGAGCAAUCCGCUUUGAGAUGGCCUCGCGUCCGAUUAGCUAGUUGGUGAGGUAAUGGCCCACCAAGGCGACGAUCGGUAGCCGGACUGAGAGGUUGAACGGCCACAUUGGGACUGAGACACGGCCCAGACUCCUACGGGAGGCAGCAGUGGGGAAUAUUGCACAAUGGGGGAAACCCUGAUGCAGCGACGCCGCGUGGAGGAAGAAGGUCUUCGGAUUGUAAACUCCUGUUGUUGAGGAAGAUAAUGACGGUACUCAACAAGGAAGUGACGGCUAACUACGUGCCAGCAGCCGCGGUAAAACGUAGGUCACAAGCGUUGUCCGGAAUUACUGGGUGUAAAGGGAGCGCAGGCGGGAAGACAAGUUGGAAGUGAAAUCCAUGGGCUCAACCCAUGAACUGCUUUCAAAACUGUUUUUCUUGAGUAGUGCAGAGGUAGGCGGAAUUCCCGGUGUAGCGGUGGAAUGCGUAGAUAUCGGGAGGAACACCAGUGGCGAAGGCGGCCUACUGGGCACCAACUGACGCUGAGACUCGAAAGUGUGGGUAGCAAACAGGAUUAGAUACCCUGGUAGUCCACACCGUAAACGAUGAUUACUAGGUGUCGGAGGAUUGACCCCUUCAGUGCCGCAGUUAACACAAUAAGUAAUCCACCUGGGGGAGUACGACCGCAAGGUUGAAACUCAAAGGAAUUGACGGGGGCCCGCACAAGCAGUGGAAGUAUGUGGUUUAAUUCGACGCAACGCGAAAAACCUUACCAAGUCUUGACAUCCUGCGACGGACAUAAGAAUUAUGCCUUUCCUUCGGGACCCAAAAACCAGGUGGUGGCAUGGUUUGCCGCCACCUCCUGGCCCUGGAGAAUGUUGGGGUUAAAUCCCCCCAACAGAGCGCAACCCCUUAAUGGGCGGUUUACUCCCCAAAAGAGGACUUUGGGCCAAAUUGCCUUUGACAAAACAAGGAAGGUGGGGAUGACGUCAAAUCAUCAUGCCCUUUAUGACUUGGGCUACACACGUACUACAAUGGCGUUAAACAAAGAGAAGCAAGACCGCGAGGUGGAGCAAAACUCAGAAACAACGUCCCAGUUCGGACUGCAGGCUGCAACUCGCCUGCACGAAGUCGGAAUUGCUAGUAAUCGUGGAUCAGCAUGCCACGGUGAAUACGUUCCCGGGCCUUGCACACACCGCCCGUC
rnacentral:rRNA from 1 species